ensembl:misc_RNA predicted gene, 27427
UGUACCCGGCGCCGCGCCCCCAGAUCUGCAUCGGAAUGUAGAAAAGAUCUUUUAAAAAAAAGUUUUGAAUUCCUCAAUGAUUUUUCUUCUGGAAAGGCAGCUUAGGAUAAUUAUUUCAGCUUUAUUGAGGGCAGAUUAGUUGAAGUCUGGGCGCUGCGUUUCAAUACGCGUUGUACAUGGGCCGACAAUGUGG